rnacentral:tRNA from 1 species
AAUUUAGCUCAAUGGUAGAGCAGUGAACUCAUAAUUCAUCGGUAGAAGGUUCGACUCCUUCAAUU